rnacentral:rRNA from 1 species
UACAGAGGGCCCAAGCGUUGUUCGGAUUCAUUGGGCGUAAAGGGCGCGUAGGCGGUCUGGCGCGUCGGGUGUGAAAACUCAGGGCUUAACCCUGAGCCUGCUUCCGAUACGGGCAGACUAGAGGUAUGCAGGGGAGAACGGAAUUCCUGGUGUAGCGGUGGAAUGCGCAGAUAUCAGGAGGAACACCGGUGGCGAAGGCGGUUCUCUGGGCAUUACCUGACGCUGAGGAGCGAAAGUGUGGGGAGCGAACAGG